rnacentral:rRNA from 1 species
UACAGAGGAUGCAAGCGUUAUCCGGAAUGAUUGGGCGUAAAGCGUGCGCAGGCGGUUCUCCAAGUCCGUUGUGAAAGCCCCGGGCUCAACCUGGGAAUGGCAGUGGAAACUAGGGGACUGGAAUCUGGCAGAGGGGGGUGGAAUGCCGCGUGUAGCAGUGAAAUGCGUAGAGAUGCGGCGGAACACCGAUGGCGAAGGCAGCCCCCUGGGCUGAGAUUGACGCUCAGGCACGAAAGCGUGGGGAGCAAACAGG